AACGCACCUUGCGCUCCUUGGUAUUCCGAGGAGCAUGCCUGUUUGAGUGUCAUUAAAUUCUCAAUCUCCUCAUACUAUUUUGUUUGUGGGAGGCUUGGAUUUGGAGUGCUGCUGGCCUUUUUGAAUCAGCUCCUCUUAAAUAUAUCAGCGUGUACCCUCUGUGGAUAGGCUUUUGGUUUGAUAAUUAUCAUAUAUGCCAUUGCCGUGAAGCAAAUGUCAGCUCUCUAAUAGUCCUUCUAGGACAACUUGAUAUUUUGACCUCAAAUCAGGUAGGACUACCCGCUGAACUUAA
rnacentral:misc_RNA from 1 species